rnacentral:rRNA from 1 species
UACGAAGGGGGCUAGCGUUGUUCGGAAUUACUGGGCGUAAAGGGCGCGUAGGCUGUGCUGUAAGUCAGGCGUGAAAGGCCCGGGCUCAACCUGGGAACUGCCUUCGAUACUGCGGGUCUCGAGUCCGGGAGAGGUGAGUGGAAUUCCUAGUGUAGAGGUGAAAUUCGUAGAUAUUCGGAAGAACACCAGUGGCGAAGGCGGCUCACUGGCCCGGUACUGACGCUGAGGUGCGAAAGCGUGGGGAGCAAACAGGG